rnacentral:rRNA from 1 species
UACGUAGGGUGCAAGCGUUGUCCGGAAUUAUUGGGCGUAAAGAGCUCGUAGGCGGUUUGUUGCGUCGGCUGUGAAAUCCCGAGGCUCAACCUCGGGUCUGCAGUCGAUACGAGCAAACUAGAGUGUUGCAGGGGAGACUGGAAUUCCUGGUGUAGCGGUGAAAUGCGCAGAUAUCAGGAGGAACACCAGCGGCGAAGGCGGCAUCCUGGACUGGUCCUGACACUCAGGAGCGAAAGCGUGGGGAGCGAUCCGG